CAAAAGCCCUGCUGCAGGUGGCCCCUCUGCCAACUGCCAGGCCAGCCUGGCCUCCAGCAUGCAGACCUGCCCAUCACCCUGAUGGUGGCAUCGAGGUGGCUGAGCUCCUGAGACCUAAGCUGCACCAGCCAGGUGUGACCGAGGCCCUGAUGAUUCAAUGACGAACAAGACUCCAAAUCAGUCCUCCUCUCAAAGAACUCACUUUGCAACCAGGGAGAGAGACUUUCAGCAAAAUGAAUCCAUGCGUUGCCUAGAACCCGUUAUGAAGCAGUAAUGAGCGCUGCAAGAAAAAUCAUUAGGAGAGCAGGUGGAGGGGCGAGGGACGUUGGCAAUUUUGAGCGGGUAUUUCCCUUGAAGAGCUAUCUUGAUCUGUCAUCUUCUCCAAGGCUACUAUUUUGACUUUUUCUUCAGGUGGAUCAUACCUCAGCUUGAACAAACAGAGCCCCGUGCGUUCUCUCCUUGUUUUCCCGUCAGGCGGUCGCCCCUCUCUGGAUGCUAGUGUGUGUGGAGACCAGACGGGGUGAAGGUGCUGGCCAGGCACCUUCCUGACACUGUCACUGUGUCUGGUUGCAACCCUGUGAUCAGGUGGGUUUGGUGCCCUAGGUUGGCUGUGAGACUCAGCUGCAGCUUCAAGGGAUGAGACCAUGGGCACAGGGUCCUCCGGCCACCAAGGACCAGCCAAGUUGAGACCUGGUUUGUCUCCCUGGAGCCUCCUGUCCAUCCUCUCUGCCACUCCUCCCUGCUCGGCCCUGGGCAGCAGCCGUCCUGGGCCCUCCUGCUUUGCACCUUUGCCCAGUCGCACUCUGCUCAGGCCUUCUGGUGCCCAUACCUGGCAGCGCGGCUCACCUGGGGCUCUCGCCCGGCCUUCCCCCACCUGUGUCCAGGCAGCGUGGCCAGCCUGGCUCGGCAGCCAGCCCGCGACUGUGCCUCGAAUCCUUUCCCCAUUCUGAGGUCUGGGGACUCUCACCUGGCUGUGUGAAGCACCUCCCCUGCAGUCCCUCCCCAGCCUCAGCCAGAGCCUUCUCUAAUUUCCCAUCUGGGUGACGCCCAGGGGCUUCCCAGAGCCAGAAAAAAAGGCACCUACCACCAAGGCCCUCAGCGAUGGUGACAGGGCACUCCACCCCCCCACUCACCAUGUGAAAGGUCUCAGGUCCUGCUCCAAAAUGCCUGGGGUGCAGAUCCCAGCUCUGCAGGGCUCUGACCCUGGGACAUUGGUGUCCUCUGCGUCUCUUAGAACAGUGGUGAUGCAGGUCCUCCUGUCCUCCAAGGAGGGUGGAUUCAGAGAGGUAAUGCAGGGACUGGCUUGGAGGUGAACCCCAACCAGAGCUUGCUGUGUGAGUAAGACAGAGUGGAAAGGAAUCUGGCAGACAUUCAGAAUGUCCCAGUUCUAGGGCCCGGCCACUUCCUGGCUAUGUGAGCUUAGGCAAGUCUCUUGACCUCUCAGAACUUCAGAUUCUUCUGGCAAGUUGAGAUGUGGGUCUCAGUGAGUUUUGAGACUAAAAGGAGAGUGCGGAGGCUGCAGAGGCCCUGUGAGCGCCAAGGCACGGUGCAGAUGGUUCUGCAUGUCUUGGAACUGAGUCCAUCAACUGUAAAUACUAUAUUGGUUUUUAAGUUGAAAUUAGUUGAAAUGAAAUCAAAUUAAAAGUUCUGUUCCUUUGUCACA